rnacentral:rRNA from 1 species
CGAUAUCAAUAAGCGGAGGAAAAGAAAAUAACAAUGAUUCCCUUAGUAACGGCGAGUGAAGGGGGAAAAGCUCAAAUUUUAAAUCGGCGCAGGUUCUACCUGGUCGAGUUGUAAUUUGAAGAAGCGUUUUCCGCGUCCAGGUUGGCCCAAAUCCUUUGGGAUAAGGUAUCAUGGAGGGUGAGAAUCCCGUCCGGCUGACCUUCAGGACGUUUUACGAUACGCUCUCAAAGAGUCGAGUUGUUUGGGAUUGCAGCUCAAAAUGGGAGGUAAAUUUCUCCUAAGGCUAAAUACCGGUGAGAGACCGAUAGCGAACAAGUACCGUGAGGGAAAGAUGAAAAGAAUUUUGAAAAGAAAGUCAAACAGUACGUGAAAUUGUUGAAAGGGAAACGAUUGAAGCCAGUCGUACCGACGGGAAUUCAACUUCUCGAGUGCUAAUCGUGGGUGACGUUGAGCCUCACGGCCUUCGUUGCUUGUGUUUUUGGUGCUUUUGGGGUGUACUUUUCCGUAUUGGUAGGUCGGCAUCGAUUUCGAUCGUCAUAAAAUGAUCGGGGGAAUGUAGCUUCGGUCUCGUAUCGGAGUGUUAUAGACCUUGGUAGAUGUGACGAUUGGGAUCGAGGAUUGCAACGAAUACCCUCUGGGCUAUCCGUCUGACCUCUGAAAGCCGCUCGGGUGUCGAAAGCUUGCUUAUGGCUAUUCGAGUUGGCGGUCAAUAGGUUAGAACGUGAUUACAUUCGUUAAGGAUGUUGACGUA